rnacentral:rRNA from 1 species
GAUUAAAGAUUUAUCGGUGAUGGAUGGGGAUGCGUCUGAUUAGCUUGUUGGCGGGGUAACGGCCCACCAAGGCUACGAUCAGUAGGGGUUCUGAGAGGAAGGUCCCCCACAUUGGAACUGAGACACGGUCCAAACUCCUACGGGAGGCAGCAGUGAGGAAUAUUGGUCAAUGGGCGAGAGCCUGAACCAGCCAAGUAGCGUGCAGGAUGACGGCCCUAUGGGUUGUAAACUGCUUUUAUAAGGGAAUAAAGUGGGAGUCGUGACUCUUUUUGCAUGUACCUUAUGAAUAAGGACCGGCUAAUUCCGUGCCAGCAGCCGCGGUAAUACGGAAGGUCCGGGCGUUAUCCGGAUUUAUUGGGUUUAAAGGGAGCGUAGGCCGGAGAUUAAGCGUGUUGUGAAAUGUAGAUGCUCAACAUCUGCACUGCAGCGCGAACUGGUUUCCUUGAGUACGCACAAAGUGGGCGGAAUUCGUGGUGUAGCGGUGAAAUGCUUAGAUAUCACGAAGAACUCCGAUUGCGAAGGCAGCUCACUGGAGCGCAACUGACGCUGAAGCUCGAAAGUGCGGGUAUCGAACAGGAUUAGAUACCCUGGUAGUCCGCACGGUAAACGAUGGAUGCCCGCUGUUGGUCUGAAUAGGUCAGCGGCCAAGCGAAAGCAUUAAGCAUCCCACCUGGGGAGUAC